CCUCUGUCCCUCCUAUCUGUUUUAGGUGCCACCAGCCGGGACAUCUGGCCAGGUCAUGCCCCGCUGCCAUGGAGUGUGACGUGGCCGCGUGCAAUUGGGCACCUGAGACUGACAGCUAAACACACAUCCGGAGCUGUCGCCUUGGGCCAGCACAAGCCGGAUCACCACUUCACGAACUGUCACGGAAUAAAGUAUAUUCACGCACCACCAUCACGACUGCACGCACCCGAGACGGGUGACCGUGUUUUUGUUUCCUUUAUCAGGACUGCAACCUGUGUUCUUCAGCCCCGAGCUUUACACAUCGUUGUGUAUUGCCGGGGCUUAUUAUUUGUGGUCACUAGACCAGGAGGGAAAAUAAAAGCUUAUUUUCUGGA